rnacentral:rRNA from 1 species
UACGUAGGGUGCGAGCGUUGUCCGGAAUUAUUGGGCGUAAAGAGCUCGUAGGCGGUCUGUCGCGUCGGUCGUGAAAACCUGCAGCUUAACUGUGGGCGUGCGGUCGAUACGGGCAUCACUGGAGUUCGGCAGGGGAGACUGGAAUUCCUGGUGUAGCGGUGAAAUGCGCAGAUAUCAGGAGGAACACCGGUGGCGAAGGCGGGUCUCUGGGCCGAUACUGACGCUGGAGGAGCGAAAGCCGUGGGGAGCAAACAGG